GCCCAGGUGGCGGAAUUGGUAGACGCGCACGGUUCAGGUCCGUGUACCGCAAGGUGUGAAGGUUCGAUUCCUUUUCUGGGCACCA
rnacentral:tRNA from 1 species